UCCCUGUGCAUAGCAAGGUUUUAUAAGUGCCUUACAAUACACGAAAUUACAAUAGCAUAAGAAUAUGCUGGUAUAAAAGAAUCAUAGUUUAUAGAAUGGUACAUAUAGGUUGUCAAGUCCGUUGCUAUUUAGGUCCGGUAUUUCAAAUCUGAAUAAAAGAAAUAACGUGGAAUAGCAUCGCCAUCAAAAUAGCACAUUCAUUCUUCCCGGUUGAGGUUCCACUAACUGGUGGUUCUGGUUUAUCAGCUGGAA